AACAUGUUGAAAUCUUAUAUAUAUACUAAAAAUCUAAAUUAGUUUUUUGAGAUUUUAUGAUUUUAAUAGUUUUCACUUGUUAUCUCAGUUUUUCAAUUGAUAUCAGCUAAAUAUAAAAGUUUUUUGGAUUGCAAAAAUAAAUGCCACAAUGUAAAAAUACAAUUUAAUAUUUAUAACUCAUUUCUACAAAGAUAUUGCUGUCAAAAAAAACAAAGAUAUUAAUUUCAAAUGGACUGAUUAGAUUAAUGUUUUCUGUAUAUAAAGACAUCCAUACAACUCAAAGAUUAUUCAUGUGCUAGUGCUACAAAGGUGAAGCUUGAACUCAUAAUAUUUUUUCUAAUUCGCUAAUUACGUAGAAACUUUUUCACCAUUCUGUUUCGAUCAUACCCAGUUAAUAUCUAGUAUACUAUAAGAAUGUUAAACAAUGAAAUUUACAUAUUUCGCGGAGAUAUAAUAGUUACAUGAAUGGUUUCUAAAAUUUUUAAAGGUGUUUUCUUCGGCAAGUCUUAAACUGACGAAAUAUGAAGUAUUCCUAGUUGAGAAUCAGGAUUUUACCACGUAUAUAGUUAGAUUUGGGUUUGGAUUAAAUUAAAAUGGAACUUAAAUUUGAUUAGAUAUAUAUUGUCAUGUUGUCGUGCUCUAUUUGGUUCAAUCUUCAAUGCAUGUAAGUUUGAAAUUAUAGGAAUUGUGAAUUAAGAUCUUUAUGCAAAAAAAUUUUCACCCGAAGAUGUCAAAGUUACUUUCAAGAAAGUUAUAAUGUGUUUUAGUCUUUGGAGAUGUUUUUUUUUAAUUAUUCUCUUUGUUUGUAAAAUGAAGCUUCGACCAACUUCAAACCAUGGAUGGAGAGGGAAGUAAACCGAAAGCAAAUAUUGAUGAUGCGUAUGCAUAUCUUAGGACUGUGAAGGAUAAAUUUCAUAACGAUCAUGACAAAUAUGACAAAUUUCUUGCUAUUAUGAAUAAUUUUGAAGCUCGGAGGAUUGAUAGGGCUCAUUGCAUAAUAGAGGUGAAGGAACUAUUUAAAGGACAUCAAGACAUGAUAUCUGGUUUCAAUAAAUUCUUGCCAGAGUCGUUGGAGAUCUCUUGUGGCCCAACUUAGAUAGAGGGUUUUACUAUCCAUCAUUUUCAUUUCGGAUCUGAACCGACUUCGGUUUAGAUUUGUUCUAAGUUGAAUCUGUUCUUUCUUCAUAAAGGAAUCAUGUUUUGGAUUUAACCAUUAAGGCUUAAUAAAAAUAAGGUUUCAAGAUC